GAUGAACGCUGGCGGCGUGCCUAAUACAUGCAAGUCGAGCGAACAGACGAGGAGCUUGCUCCUCUGACGUUAGCCGCGGACGGGUGAGUAACACGUGGAUAACCUACCUAUAUACGGGGAUAACUUCGGGAACCCGGGGCUAUUACCGGAAAAUAUAUUUAACCCCUUGGUUCAAUAGUGAAGUUCGGGUUUGUUGUCAUUUAUAGGUGGAUCCUCGGCGCAUUAGCUAGGUGGUAGGGUAACGGCAUAUCAAGGGGGCGACGGGUAGACGACGUGAGAGGGUGGUCGGCGGCAUGGGAAGUGAGACACGGUCCAGGCUACUGAGGGAGGCCGCAGUAGGCAAUGGUACGCAAUGGGCGGAAGCCUGACGGAGCAACGCCGAGCGAGAGAUGAAGAUCUCGGGAUCGUAAUACUCUGUUAUGAGGGAAGAACAAAUGUGUAAGGAACUAUGCAGGUCUUGACGGUACCUAAUCAGAAAGCCCCGGCUAACUACGUG
rnacentral:rRNA from 1 species